CAAUCAAACCGGGAGAUAGCUGGUUCUCCCCGAAAGCUAUUUAGGUAGCGCCUCGUGAAUUCAUCUCCGGGGGUAGAGCACUGUUUCGGCUAGGGGGCCAUCCCGGCUUACCAACCCGAUGCAAACUGCGAAUACCGGAGAAUGUUAUCACGGGAGACACACGGCGGGUGCUAACGUCCGUCGUGAAGAGGGAAACAACCCAGACCGCCAGCUAAGGUCCCAAAGUCAUGGUUAAGUGGGAAACGAUGUGGGAAGGCCCAGACAGCCAGGAUGUUGGCUUAGAAGCAGCCAUCAUUUAAAGAAAGCGUAAUAGCUCACUGGUCGAGUCGGCCUGCGCGGAAGAUGUAACGGGGCUAAACCAUGCACCGAAGCU
rnacentral:rRNA from 1 species